rnacentral:lncRNA from 1 species
AUAAAAACACUUCAAGAAGAAUUAAGUCUUUCCAAAAAGAACUAUAAAAACGUUUCUAUAGGUACGAAGGCGACGUGCGGUGUACAGAGGCGAGAGGCGCUGGAGGUUGUACAUGGGGGCUGUUGGCUGCGGCGCAAAGGGGAAACCUUAGGGUUUUUGUGAGUGUUUGAUUUUGGACCUGUUGAGCCAUAUAUUUUUGGGCUAGGGUUUUGGUUAUUAUUAUUUUUGGGUUUUGUAGUUGUGAAAUUGGGACUGUUUAUUGUACUUCAGUAUUUGGUUUUUUUUUGUAUUGAUUUUUUGGUUGUUGGGCCCAGGCAAAUUGGGCCUAUUACAUUAUUAAAUCUCAAUAUUAAAAAUUACACCAAAAAAAAUAUAAAGUUAAAAUUUGGUAGUAACUUCUCUUAGGACUUAUGGGCGAUGAGGGUAGCCAAAUCCUUUGGAGUAUUUGAUUUUAUUUGUUUGUUUAUUAGAAUUGAAAUAUAAUAAUAAGAGUUAAUUUACUAUUGUUUGAUAUAUUAUAUUAUUUUUUAACAUUAAUCUUAUUAUAGGGUCUUAUCAUAUAUGCUAACGCUUUGAACUAUCAAUAGAACCUCCUCGACCCUUAAAUAAGAGGAUAAUGCACUUUAAUCCACUCGAACCCAUGUUCUCUUGCACUGAUAACAAUGUUAAUCCCAAUCUAAUUAAGACUCAAUCGGUAUCAAAUCUCAAUCUUAGAUCUCCUCAUGGGACUUACCCUUUAGGUAUUUGAUUUUGUUUAUUUGUUUGUUUCUUAAUGCAUUAUAUUAUUCAUAUGGUGUUAUUCAUAGUAAUAGAGUUAAAUAAUAGUAAUAGAGUUAAUUUGUUGUUUCAAAUGUAUUAUAUUAUUUAUAUGCUCUAAAAUAAUAUGAUGUGUUAUAUUAUUAUUGAGUGUUUAAAAUAUGAUAUUUUAAGAUAUUUUAAUUUAAAUUAUACUUUUUUUAUUUGAUUUCAUUAAUUUGAUGAUGAUUUAGAUUAUAAAUACUUACUUUUGUUUGAUAUCACGAUAUUAUUAAUCUUGAGAAUCAAUUAUUAUAAAUCAAUUAAAAUAAUUAUUAUAAUUUUUAAAAUUUAAAAGUUAUUAUUUUAUAACUAUGAUGAUGACUUUGUUAAUUGCAUAAAAUGUAAAUAUAUAAUAAUUUAAUAUAUAAAAUUUUUUAUAUUUAAAAAAUAAAUUAUUUAAAAUUGGGUCCCAAUUGAAUUGAAAAAAUAGUAAAUAUUCAUUCUUUUGAUGAAGUUAUAUUAUUUGAAUGCUUUUGCCGUUUUAUAUUUGAAGUUAUAUUUUAUAAAUGAUGAACUGAAGUGCAGACUCCGCUACUCGUUUAAAUUCCUCGCACGCUUUGACAUGUGAUUAAACCUUCUAACAACGGUGCCUUGGAUUCCAUCCCAAAGUUGUCAACUAAAAUUUAAUACAUAUUAAUUGCCACUUUUCAAAACAUUUCAUCAUAUAUUGAAUUAGAAGUUAAAAAUUUAACCAUCAUUCAUGUUCUCAACUUAUAUCCCAUGUACACUCCCUAACAUCUCAUAUCUAACUUAGACGACAAGGUCAAGCCUGGAGAGUUAUAAUGAACGAUAAUCAAUUACAUUUUGCAAUUCAUAAUAACAUGCCUUUAAAAUCUAAUAAAGUUUUAACAAAGACAAACCAGUGUCUCGAGAUUAUUUUCCUACUAAUUGAAACUACGAAAAUAAUUAACAUGAUUCAUAAUACUAAACGAUAUAAACACAUAACCGAGCUCCCCAUCCGUCGACCCGAUCAAGUCUGUGAUUUACUUGAAAUUCAUUCAGCAAUAACUAAAUUAAUAUACAGGAAAGGACACAACUAUUUACAUAUUCAAUAGAUUAUUGGUAAAACCAAGAUAUCCAAGUCCAGAUGUUGAUCCAGAAUCAAGAAACAGUUCAUUCAGUUACAGAUCAGAGUCAUAAGACGGAUAACAGAUCAAGCUAUAAUUAGAUGUACAACAGAACAUAAUAGAUACAAUUACUUAAUACCAACCACUAUACACCAUCUUCAACCAACCCAACAAACCAAAUAAGGUAUUCAUUACCCAUCCAACCCUACACAUCACUCAGUGUCGGUUUGACACAUUUCAAAAAUUGUAGGCUAGCUGCCAGAUUAGUACACGGAUACUAAGGAUUUAACCACUGGUUCAGUACGGAAUGCUUCCUACUUAUUCAAUUCCCGUCCACUGGUUCUAUACAAAUAUUCAAAUACAACUCAUACUCGUAUGUAGUAGAUCAAUUCUAGAAAAAUUAGUUAAACACAAUACACACACUGAUAAAUAAUACUCAAGUUCCAAAUCACAUAAUAUCAGUUUAUACAGUUAAAUUCAGUUCAAAACAAAAGGCUUGUAUUUAGUUUGAGCAAUGCUAGGAAUAUGAUGAAAUUUCGUAAACUAGCCUAGACGCUCGUGUGGCCCCACAUGACCUAGGUAGCUAGCCCGUGUCGCCCCACACAGCCUAACAUACGACCGUGUCCUCCCAUGUGAACCCUACACUAACAUCGCCAUACACGGUCUGGACACACGCCCGUGUCCCUUGCCUGUGUGGCUCCUACUUGGCAGAUAGUGAGUUAUACUGCCUACCACACGACCUAUCACACGGCCGUGUGGUAGCUACACGGUCUAUCACACAGCCAAACGGCGUCAAAAGCCAUGUUUUUCGGAGUUAAAAAUUAGUAAAACUUGGGUUUUUAGUGCGUAGCUGAAAUAGUUUCAAAGUAGAAGACUCCCGAGACCUAAAACGAACAGCCCACCAACAAUUAAGCAAUAAUUCAAAACAAACAUUAACAUUAUCAUACCAUUAACUUCAUCGAAUAAUUUCGACACAAGAAAAUCCUAAAUCGCGUAGUAAUUACGUGCGCACUACCACAAAUCACGAAUCUAGGGCGUUAAAGAGACCGUUAUCUUCGAGAUCUUCCCCUAAACAACAAUCGAACAUAUAGUCAAAAGGGUUCGAGCAAUUUACGCAAACGUUACUCGGCACGGAAGACAACAAUCGAUGUUUUCCCAAGUUAGACGAUUUAACACAGUAAUUUAACAGAAAACAAACUUACUCGAAAAUGGUAGUAGACAAAACGGUGAAUCUAAGCAGCAAUUGAAUAACAAAAAGGAAAAAAAAUAAAGGGAAAGAGACGAAAAAGAAGAAGGGAAAAAAGAAAAUAGGAAAGUAGAAAGGAGAGGGAACGUUUAAUUUAAUUUAACCACCGAUCAAAAUUCUGACAUGAAGCAAAAAAUAUUACCCACCGCAUACACCGAGACUCGAACACAAGACUAAUAGAAUACGAAAGCUUAACUAGUUUAUCAGCAAAGUCAUUCGUGAUAUAGGUUAACACUGAAUUAAACUUAGGCUGAUGGCUCAGGAAUAAAGGUUAGCUUAAAUUAAAAUAAUAAAACUUUCUAAAAUACAACUCAAACUCCUAAACUCGAACACAUAAACAGAGCGCUUAACCACAGAUACAAAUAUUUAAUUACUUUAGAACCCAACGCUUAAACACUCAAAAUUUUUUGGGCGUUACACACUAAUAUUUAAAUGAUAGUUAAAAAAUUAUUCAUAAGUGAUAGAUAUAAUGAUAAGGCAUAUUAUUUUCAAAGAUAAAUAAUUGAAGUUCGAACUUUAUAUAUAAUAUUAUUGUAAGAGACAGUCAUGAAUUUCAAAAGAAUUAUGAACUGUAAAACGGAGAUAAAAGAUACUUUCAUUAUAUAAAAAAGAUAAAAAAUUUCAACCAUAAACCAAUUCAAGAUAAGUAAAUUAUAUUUUCUUAAAAAUAAAAGUAAAAAGUUAGAAAUUAUUUAGUAAAAUUGACAACUUCAAAAACAAUAUUUAAUUAUUAUACUAUUUAUAAGUGUUAAAAUAUAAAGUUAAUAUUUAAUCAAAUACAUGUAAAGAAAAAUCAAGUUUUUAUAAAAAUAUUUAAAAUAUUAAAAUUGAUAUAAAGUUAUAAAAAAUUUUAAAAAAUUAUAAAAAACUUGAACUGGAUCGAUUAGUCCAAAAUCAGCAAGGGAAUUGAUUCAGGGAAAGCCAUUAGACUGGUUGACCUGAGAACCGGAUGGUUGAAUCUAGGGGUGAGUAUUCGAUCGAGUUGAAUCGAAUCGAGUAAAAAAUCUUCGAGUUAGUCGAGUUAACAAAUUAUAUUUUAGCAACCAAACUCAAUUUGAAUUUUUUUCGAAUCGAAUCGAAUCGAGUAAAAAAAAAUUGAGUCAAAUCGAGUCGAGUUAACUAAUCUUAUUAUUUAUACUUAAUGUUGUAUUUAGAUGGACUAAUUAUUUAACUAGUAGACGAAGUACAAUAUUAUUUAACUACAUGAACAAUAUAAUGAUUUUGCCUUUUAACUUAAUGGGUAAAUAUUUAUCAAAACGACGUAGUUUUACCUUUUAACUUAAUUAUUUUGAAUUUUAACUUUUAAAAAAGUAAACAUUAUCAAAACGAUGUAGUUUUGUCUUUUCUUAUUCGAAUUUUCGGAUAACUCAAAUUGUGUAAUUCAUAUUCAAGUUAAAAAAAAAACUUAAUUUUUUAUUCGAGUUUAUCCGAAUAACUUGAUUAACUUAAAUAACUCGAACUAUUUAAUUCAAAAUUUAAAUUUUUUAUCGAGUUUCUCAAAUCGAAUCGGAUUUUGCUCACCCCUAGUUGAAUUAAUUUUUUAAUAUUUUUAUCAAACCAAAAUUUCAUUAUCCAACUAUUAGCAUAUGUAAGAAUGAAAUAUUCUAACAAAGGUGUUCAGAACCAAACCGGUGGUUGAACUGGUCAAGCCAUCGGUUUACCAAUUUGACUGAUUUUUCCAGUUCAAUUAAAUAAAACAUUCAAAAAUAAAAAAUAAAAAAAACCGUCCUAGAUCAAUUGGUCUAAUGACUUUCUCCGAACCGAUAUCCUUAUCAUUUCGGUCUAAUCGGUCCAUUAAAAAGUAUUGAAUUGUGUUACUUCCAUUCUUUACCUCUAAUAUUGUAUAAAAAAUUGUUUUUAUCUAUUUUACUUUAUUUUAAAUAUAGUAAAAAAAUUAUAAAUAACACGAAUGCAAUCCAUUAAAAAGUUAAAUAGAAGUAAUCAAUUGAUCGCCGGUGAAAAAAGUUGAAUACUACAAGCUGGAAUAAGUAAAAGGAAAAUGGUGAAGAAAGUCAAAUACGUUAGAUUAGAUGAUAACUUCACCCACAGAAAUGUGGGUAUAUUAAGAUAGCAAGUGGGACAGCUUAGAGUCAGCAUCAUGCUGCUCGAAAUGCUUGGUGGUAGUGUAGUGGAAACUCUGUCGGUAUGCUCAGGUCAAGUGCAGGAAUUGGCGUUUAAGGAACUAAUUUCUUUCUCUCUUCAUUAACUUUGAACAUUGACUCAAUAAUCCAAAAUUCCAAAUUGGUUUAAUAACUGACAAAUAUUUAAUAACUAAAGUAUCUACAUAAUUUAUCAUACGUUGACUUUUUCCAAAUAAAUGAAAAAAAAUAAUUUAAAUACUAGGUUAUGGGGAUAUAUAUAUUUAAAUGAAUAAUAAUUUUCUAAAAAUAAGUAGUAGUUUAAAAAAUAUGUAAGGUCUUGUUUGAUAAUCCGUUUAAAAAUUUAGUAUUUAAUUUUUUUAAUACUCAAAUUUUCAGAUUAUCAAACAAUACCUAACUUAAAUAAAUAAUGAUUUUUUAAAAAGAAUAGUCAUUAAUAUUUUUUAAACAUUUUGAUAUAAGUUAAAAGUCACAAAUACCUGUUUUAUAUGCAUUACUAACUUAUGAAAAAUGAUUUUUAAGUUUUUUUUAAUUGAUUUGAUAUUUGAUUAACUCAUGAUACUAACUUAACAAUGAUUUUCAUAUAGCAUAAAUAUUGUUAUAACAAUUAACUUAUACAAAGUGUUGAGGUAGACUAUAAUCGCGGUUCACACCAUAUGUGGUGUAGAGAAUCACUGAGGAUGAAAGCUUAAAAUGGUGUUUUAGCAAAAUGAUGUUUUAGCAAAAUGAUGGCUAAUGACCAAUGGUUGAUCUCUUCUAUUGUAUGAAUAUUGCUCCCACCACCUCUCUCUCUUUCUCUCUCUUUAUGUGUCAUGUUCCUUUGAUCUUGAAAAAAAUGAGUGUUUACAGGACAAAGAUAGUUUAGAGUAGAUUUUACGUAUCAUGAUUACCUUUUUAGUAGAGUUUGAUAUAGACCCAAGUUAGAGUAUGACUUGGAUGUAUCCCAAUAUGGGGUUGGUAAGCUUAUCUUAUGUGACCAAUAUUCUUGAUGGUGUUAUGGCAAUAUUCUCUUAGUAGUGCAUGGGUGUCUAAGUGUAGGAGGUAUAACAAUUGUCCCCCUCAACAAUCGAAGAGAAGUUUAUAAAAUGAGCUUCUCUAAUAAUGGGUGUAAUCUUUUUAAGUAAUGUCAUUUGAACUAAUUGUAACGCCCUAAUUUUCGGGAAUUCUAUGAAUGUUGGCAUAAGUUUAAUUAUGUUAGUGGGCCUCUAGAAGGCCCAAGCUUAAGAUAGAACCCGACAAUUUUAGUUAAUUUUUGUUCCAUAAGAAAAAGGGGGUGAAAUUAUGAAAUAGAACCUAUGUGAAAAUGUUUGAAAAUGCUAUAGGCUAAAUUGAAGUGGCCAAAUAAAUAGGAGUGCAAAAUAGGAGGAUUUGCAUGACAAACCUCCCAUUUUACAUGAAGUGGCCAGCCAUCAUGUUGUUAUAGACAAUAUGAGCACUUGAUAUCCAUAAUUCAUGGUACAAAUUGAUAAUGGGUUAGGUAAAUGUUCCAUGAUAAUGAAUUAGGUAAAUAUUCCAUGAUAAUGGGUUAGGUAAAUAUUCCAUGAUAAUGGUUUAGGUAAAUGUUCCAUGAUGGGCAUUUCAUGUCUUUUGUAUUAAAGAAUUAAAUGGAUGAAAUAUGAAAUUUUAUUAAAAGAAAAAGGGGUGAAAAGAACAAAGUUUUGUCCAUCUUUGUUCAUCAUAGCCGAAAGUUAGAUAAGAGAAAGGAGAGGAGAAAGCUCUUGAGUAUUCGGUCACUAGGAGGAGGAAAAUUGAAGGUAAGUUCUUGGUACCUUGCUUCUAUUUUGAGUUUCAUGAGUUCUUCUUGAUUCUACCUUAACUCUUGAAGCAUAUUUUGGUUUUUAGUUGUGUUGUGAGCAUUUAGUCAUGAAUUAAAAUGAAGGAAAUGGUUGUUGUUUCAUGUUCUUUUGAUGAAAAAUGGAAGAUAGGUGAAGUUGAGCCAAACAAAUGAGCAUGCAUGUGCCUUAGAUGCUAAAGGGAAAAAUCGGCUAACAUGUUGUGCUUUAAAAUGAUGAAAUGGAGAUUAUAAUUAAGUAAAAUCAUAGAUAUGUGAUGAUUGAUUGGUGAUAUACAUGUUUAAAUAAGAUACAUGCAAGGUAUGUGUGAAAGAGUGAUUUGGUAAUAAAUCUGCUUGGGACAGCAGCAGUAACGUGACUUUGGAAAAUCACCAUAAAUUGUGGGAGAUGAAUUAGAAGCUGAAUAAAUUAUGUAAUUAAAUAUUAUUGAGUCUAGUUUCAAAUGAAAUAAACGAGAACAUAUUUUGAAUUCUUUACAAUGAGAAAUUUGAUUCGUAAUGAAGAGUGGUCAGAUUAGUCAAACAGUGAAACAUGGGAAACUUUGAGAAAAAUCUGGUAUUGAUUGGCUAAACCAAAAAUUCUGAAAAUUUUAUGGAUAGAAGAUAUAUGAGUCUAUUUUCAGAGAAAAUUAACGGCACUUGAUUUGGAAUUUCGUAGCUCCAGUUAUAAAUGAUUUAGUGACUGUUGCUCAGGAAGACAGCUUGCAGUGAAAUUAUGAUUAUGUGGUAAACAUUGACAAAAAAUUGUUAAUGAGUUGCUUAUUGAUUUCUUAUAAGCUUACUAUGAUCUGUAGGUGUGGUUGGCCGAAUAUUGUAAGGGGUUAAUACGUAGUUUGUAUUUGAAUAGUUAGAUUAACGUGUUAGUAAUCAAAUUGUAGGUAGUUCGUGUGUAGAUCUCGUCAGCAUAUCGUCGCAAACAGGUGUGUAACUAACACCCUCUUUCUUAGUCUGGAUCGGCAAAAAGUCGAAAAGCCGAAAUACCGAAAACCGGUAUUUUGUAGAUUUGCGAGUGUGCGAAUGCUCGUGAGGUAAAUCGAUUAAUGUUUUUGGUAAGCUGCAAAAUUUGGAUUGCAAAGUGCAUGAUUUCUGUGCCCUCGAUAUUUUUGGGCUUAAUGGGCCAAAAUUGGAAUGAUGGGCCAACGAGCCCAAUUCAGUAAGAACCCUCGGUACGUGAUUCUGUUAGUACGUGAAAAGUAGGAAUAUGCAUGAAAAACCCUAAAAUAGAUAAAUUACUAAAAUACCUUUAAAAGUGGAAAAUUUACAAUUUUACCCCUAAUAGAUAAAUUACCGAAAUACCCCUAGGGUUAAAUUGACCUAAAUGCAUGUUUGACUGUUGUUAUUUACUGCAUGCCAUGUUGUUAUUAUCUGAUGCAUGGGAUUGGGAUAUUGAUGGAGGAAGUACUGAAAGUGACUUGUCCACGUACUAGAGGCUUUGCCUCAAUUUACUGUUAACUGAGCAGCAAGGCUGCAACUGUGGAGUGUUGGGCUGGGUGGGUUGAGCUAUUCCCCACAUGGAGUGUAGGGCUGGUUCGGGUGGAGUGUAGUGGUUGGUGGGUUGAGUAGUCUCCCCAAAUGGGCUUGCAUAUGUUAUUAAUGUUGCAUGUAUUUUGAAAUGGGCCUAUGGGCCAUACUGUUAUCUGAAUAAGGGGCUAAGGCCCAGUUUAUUGUAAUCUGAAAAGGGCUCUGGUCUAGUACCACUGUUACCUGAAUGGGCUUAGGCCCAAUAGGCUUGAGCUGACUUGGGCUUUGAAUGGGUUUUCCUUACACACUGAGUUUCCCCAAACUCACCCCUUUUAUUUUCAUUCACGCAGGAAAUCCCCAACCAUAGUGGGCUUGGAGCUGUGAGGGAAUUCGGAGUGGCCACCCGUUCUGAAAGUUUGAUUUUCUUCUGGUGAACUGGACAUCCUUUUAUUUACGUUUGAAGUUUUGGGUUUUUAAAUGUAAUAAGGCCGCUUAAUUAUUUUUGAUGGUUUUAAUAUGUAUUACUAAGAUAGUUAUUACUUAUUUUAACUGUUGAAAUUGGAUAGCUUUAGGGCGCGUUUUCAAAAACAACAAUUGAUUUCAAAAUAACACGACAACAAGCAAAGCUUCUGCAAUGAAAGUAUUUUCCAAAAUUAAUCACUUUUCUUAAAAAUGACUUAAUCAAAUCGGUUUCCUAGAAAUAUCCAUGACGUUAAGGUGUGGCAAUGGUGGUAUGCAUGUCUAGGAUUGGAUCCGAAGGGAGCUUGGUACUUAAGCAGUCCGAUGGACUCACCACCUCUUUUUCGGUUUCCUACCUGGUGCACAGCUUCCAUUCACUUUAACCUAUAAUGAAAUUAUCUUUUAAAACACUAAGUAAGUUUUUCUGGAUUAAUAAUAUAAAAUGUUUUGAACGCUUCGAUGUGGCAUGUCGGAUCCAGUCAUAACGUCUGGGCCGGGUUUGGGGUGUUACACUAAUCGAAUUGUGGUUAAUGUUUUUUUCAUUGAUUUUAUAAGGCAUAAAAUCGCAUCUUUAAAAAAUAUUUUUGACAUGGCAUCUCUUCAUUAUUUAACGAUUAUUUUGCUUGGGAAAACUUUUCUUUCAUUUUGUUAUCAUUUCAAUACUUAAACCUUUUCACUAUAAAUAAGGGCCUUAGGUCUUUUUUAAGGAGAACUUCACUUCAGCGAUUUUUGAGAAACAUCUAUUACUUCUUUAAGUUUCUUGUUUUUGGUGCUCUUUUUAUCUUUUAUUAGAGUACAGCAAUUUCCUUCCUUCUACAUUGGUAAAUUAUUUCUUUGUUGUUGUAUUAUUGCCUUUUGCGAGUUCUUGCCUUUAGGAAAGCUUUUUCUUUUUGCCUGUUAUUUAUUUAUAAAUCUUUCUUCAUAAUCAACAAUAGAAAGUUCAUUAAAAAAGGUUAGUAAGAGACAAUUGAAGACCCUAAACCCUAAACCCUAAACCAUAAACUCUAAACCAUAAACCCUAAACCCUAAAACCCUAAACUCUAAACACUAAAAUCAUAAACCAUAAACUCUAAACCAUAAACCUAAACCAUCUACCAAUGAUCGUAUUUCAUGUAUGGCCCUAGCAAUAGACAUGCUACGGGUUCUUCAAUUUAGGGGGAUUGUGGAUCCCCAUUAUAAAUAUAGUUUUUUUGUUAGAGACGACGUUCACCAAUUGAGCAACGUUGUUAGCAAUGAUAAGAGUGUUUUAUUUCCCCUAUACAUUUUUAAUUGGAUUUCCAUUUGCCAUCGUACCCAUGGUUCGUAGAGGUGCUCAACUCUUUUGGCAUGCCCCCAAGGCAAUUGACUAGGGGUUCAUGGUUUCGUUUGGUGGCAUACUUCCUAGAUUGACACAAGGAGAGGGGGGAGAGCCCCGCCUAGCAGCUUUUAAAACUUAUACUUCUUUCAAUUCUCUCACAAACUGGGUUAGCAGGGACUUUGCUAUUUCCAACAGCACAAGAAUGUGAACUCCCUAAUUUCUAGUAAGCUAAGCAAAUGGAACCAAGGGUUGGUUCAUCUAUGUAGAGGAUAAGCUAAGUGUAUUUCCUUUCCUUACGGAGUGGAAGGAACUUGGUACUAAAAAAUUGAGUGGUUGCCUAACUUGGAGGAUGACAUUGCUAAAGGUCAAUAUGAUUGCUACAAGCUAGGGUUUCACUCAUCCAUUGCUUAUUUGCUGAACUUAAACCUUAAUAAGGCACACUACCUUCAAAAGAGGAGCUCAAAUGGUGUGGCUCCAUUUGUCGACACCGAUAACUUCAUGGAUAGGUUGGAUGCCUUGACGUGGCCUACACAAUUUGAGGGUUGGCCAUUGUGAGCCACAAAUGAUGAUGGCUAGAUAAUUACAAGCAUGCUAGAAGAGCUUGAAGUUUUCUACAAAGUUGAGGAAGGUUUCCAAGAAACGAAAGAGAACCAAACACUUAGUUGCAAAGGUUUCCAGAAAGCAUAGGGCUGUUGAUCUUGUCACCCCAAGUCUCUAGAAAACAAAAGGUGGCCUACCAAUUCCACCUAGUUCAAUUACUGACAUUCCCUAAAAUGAGGAGGUUUGCCAAGUACCAACAAGUUUUUCUGUUAAUAAUUUUCCCAAUGAGGAGAAGGAUGAUUUAGAUAAGGAGAUUAAUAAUUAUAGGGACCUUGAGUCAAUGUCUUUUGCCAUUGUAGAGAACGUGGGUCCUUUAAUCAUUGAGGAAUUCUUUAGGACUGAGGAUUCCAAUAUGUAGUAAUAUUGUAAUUAUUGUGACAUAGUUAAGCUUUGUUUUUCAUGUACAUAUCAUUUUAUGUCUUUUUGACAGAUGGCAGUUAGUGGGUUUGACUAGUAUAACACUCUCCAAGAUUUGGAUAAGGAGGACAACUUAUUCGUAAAAAGGAAAAAGGUUGGCAGUGAGGUUGACACUACUCCUACAUUAACCAGGACAAUGCUAACUCUUACUCUAACAAUUACUCCCUUGGAUGUUGCUAUGCCUGCUAUUGCAACUCCUCAUAUCCUUGCUAUGCUGGUUGUUGACACUCCACCUUCAACUAUGCCUUUUUCUUAGUCACUACCUUGUUGGAAAAAUACAGUUUAGAAAAGUAUUUUUCACACAAUGAAAAUUUAACAUUUUGCUAAAAAUCAAGCCUUUGUGAUAUUUAUAGUUAUAAAUCAUUUACUUAAAUUGUACCUAUGUUUUCUAUAUAUGCGGAAUAAGUCAUUCCCAACUUUCAACCUUUCAAUUUUCUCCACUAUUCUCGACCUUGACCCGUUAGAGUGUGAGCUCUAUUCAUGAACUGAUGAACAUUAACAAAAACUUUCUAGGGUCAGAAACCGAUUACUCAAGAAAGAUAGAGUUAUUUGUGUAAAAUAAUUUUCAUUAUUUUCUGGCAGAGUAACCUCAUAGGUGAAUGGUGUAAUUUGACUUAGCCUAUAGUCUCUAUUUAUAAAGAAAAUAACAAAAGUCUUAAUUAACAAGGUGUAGCUAGAAAAAUAUUAUUUUAAUUGAAAACUCAUACUCCAUGUAGGAGUACAUAACAUAGGCGUCGACAACACCCUCUAGGUACCAUUAUUGGAAAAUCGAGUUUGAAAAAUGCAGCGAGAAAUAAGCUUAAGGGAAAAACCAGAGUUUUAAUUUUUUUUUCAAAAACAAGAACUUAGUUGUGAUAUCUAAAGUAAUAAGCACUUAAUCAAAUUUGUUCCUUUUUGAUUCGUCUAGGAUGAAUGCUUUGACCGAGUAAUCUUCUCUGCUAUCCUCAAGCUCAUGCUUGACGAGUGUAGGCUCGCUUCAAAUAAAUUUUUUUCCACAAAAUUACUAGUAGAGUAAAUUCACAAGUUCUCUAAAAUUCUAGGCCAAGUUGUAAAUAAGAAAAAUAUCUCUAGAAAUCUUCUGAAAUAAUUUCUUCAGAGAAUUUUCUCUCUACAACUUUCUCUUGAAUUCAAUCUGUGAAAAACAAUAACCAAGGCUCUAUUUAUAUAUGGAGAAUUUAAAGAGUUCAACUAAGAUCGAACUUAAUCAGUCUAAUAUUAAAUUAAUAUAAUACUUAUCAAGAUAGGUAUUAUAUUAAAUUUAAUAUUAAAUCUAUUAAAUUAAUAAAUAUUUAUCUACGAGAUAAAUAUUAAAUUAAAUUUAUUAAAAUAAUAUUAUUUUUAGAAUAGUUAAUUUGAAAUUAAAUUAUCCGGUAGAGUUCUAGUAAGAGUGUGCUUCUUCUACUGCUCAACUGUUGAAGACUAUUGCUGUCAAUCAUCCGUCGACCACCAAAAUAAUGCUGUCACAGUCAUCGGCAUUGCUGUGCUCGGUGGUGUCAUCAUAGGCACAACAAUCUCACAUCACCCUGAGCUAGUUCGGUCUGGGCCAUUGACGAAUCGACUGGUUCAAUCUAGCCACCGAUUGGAUUGUCGGACCGGUUUCACAUAUCGGGCCUAAUUCGACCAAUUUUAGGUCUCAAUCUCAAUUUUUUGUUCUCAAUUCUAACUUUCGAUCUCAACUCCAAUUUUCAAGUUCAAUUACCCAUUGGGCCAAUUGUAUGACUUGAAAAUUAAUUUCCAAAAAUAUCAUAUUUAUUUUAAUUAAUUUGAUUAAUUUAAUUUUUCUGAAUCAAAAUUAAUUUUUUAAAAAUCACUGAGAUUUUCCAAAAUUAUUUUUCAAGAAAAUUCUUUAAUCAAAUUCUCUAUUUAAGCAAUUCUCACAUCUGCCCAAUUUAAUUCCAUAUUGAAUAAAUCGACUUAAUUAAAUUAUUUCCAAAGUCGUAGAAUUUUAUUCUGAUUCAAAUACAAUUCGAUUUAGCUUUUGUUGAGCUAGCAGAGGGACUAAUCAGAUAUAUAUAGUUAGACUAUAGUAAUUGCAAUUAUGUUCAGAAGCAUCAUUCCGAUAAUUCACAAUUUACUUAAUCAUGGAGUCAGUCUACAAGAAGUACCAUACUUGAAAACUCUUUAUUGUUUACUCUUUACGAAAGCAAUUUAUCCAAAUGCUUUGUCUAAUGACCUCGUCAUGUGUAUGUUACGCUCAUAUGAUAUCCUUGAUUUCUUUGAGUUAAAUCCGUUCACUCAAUACAAUCUUAUUUUAUCUCAUUGUCACCAUUAUGUCUUCUAAAUAAUUAAUAUGAUCACUUUCAACAAAUGAUUGUGAUAAAUUCCUUAUUAGAGAACAAGCAACCUGUAGCGAGCUCCAUAUUUAUCAAUCCACACAAUGCCAAUGAGAGGAUACCGUUAACUCUUUAAUCGAUCUAUGAAUUCCAUCGUUUCUAGUAAAGCCAUGCCAUACACAAGUCAUGUACCUAACAUACCAACUAUGGGCUCGAUCAUCUUCAGAGCAUAAGCCUCCACUUAUAUCAAAACGCAUGAGUUGCAUACACAUGGUCAGUGGCUAACUCAGGAUUUAGGUAAAUCACACCAUGAAUGUCAAAAGUGAAUUAUUUCACAAAUGAAUUCAGAAUUGGUUCAAAUUGUGUCCAAUCUAAUGUAUUAUUCUUCCAAUGAUUACAUCUAUGUCUCUACUCCUGGAGUCAAAUGCUCUAAUAGCCAAGACUAGCCAUCUCCCUAAUUAGAAUUGUAGACGACAUAAUAAUCCUUCUAAGUAUUUGAAUCAAACGAUCACUUUGAUUCUUUUAUGAGAUUACGAACUCGUUUAUAUUAUCUACUGAAAUAAGUUGUUUUUUUUGCAAUGUAAACAUUCUUGCAGUGCCACUUAUGAUCAGUUUGAACUUAGAAAAUCUAUGAACUAAUAUUUUCUUGUCACAAAUUUGCUAUGUAUGCAAAACAUGAAAGAUAAACACAAAAGAUAUAACAGUGAAAUGUGAAAUUGACUUUAUUUCUUUAGAUAUCGUUCAAAUACAUAGAAAACAGUUACAUAUUUACUACAAUAUGGGCAAAUUUCCCAACAACCCUAGGGUUGCCGCCUCUUGCAGCCUAUUGGGUCUGUUUAGCAUAUCGGGUACAACUAUGUGUCGUUUGGCCUUUAAUCGACUCAUACAAUUUUACCAACUCAAAAAUUGAUUUUCUAUUCCCAAAAUAUUAAUUAAUUAAUUAAAUUAAUUAAAUUACUUCCUCAACCCAAUUCUAAUCUAGUUAAAAUCUUGAUGACUUUACUGUAUUUGAAUCCAUGAAUAAAUAAAUUUAUUUAACUAGUUAAUUUAAUUUCCACUUCAAACUUCAAUUAUAUAAUUACAAUCAAUUAAAUAAUAUUUUGAAGAAAUUAAUUUAAUCUCUAAAUCAUCUCUUAUGCAUAAAGAGAAAACGUAUUCAUCGCAGAUAGUGUUACAUACAAUCUAUUUGUAGUACCCCAAACCCGACCCAAACGUUAUGGCCAGAUUUUGAAGGUUAUAUUAAUAAAUCGAAACUUUGAUAAUUUGUUUUGAAAACGUAUUGGUGUGUCGUUGAAAGCACAAAAAAUAACCUAUCCCUAUGAAAUAACGAAAAAGAAUAGUAUGAGGGAAGUAGGGUCAAAUCUUCAGAGACUGGAUUUGCACAACUUCUUGUUCCUAGAGAUCCCGAGCACAGUCGUGCCCAAGAAAAAGCGACAUACCUGGAAAAAAAACAUAAUUAAAAAUAUGGAGGGGCUGAAAUCAUACAAAUUGAAAUCGAAAUUGUAAAGAGAAAUAGAAUUGAGAAAAGAGGUUCCUUGAUUGAGAGAUUCCAGCCUCCAGUUGUCUCAAUCCUCCUUGGUUUCAAUCCUCGGCUUUUAGGUGAUCCUUUUCAUGAUAAAAUAAGCUAGUUAUAGUGGAAGAGGAUGUCUAUGACCACUAGCUACACUUAGAUUUUAUCCAUACGAUUUAAAGGAACCUGACUCUAACCAACCGUCACUUUUGUGGGAUCGUCUUACACUAGAUCAUCACUUCUCGAUGGCGAAUGCCACGCCAUCUUGUCUUUUGGGCUCGACAAUCACUGAUGCAGUAAGCUAACGAACCGACUGUGCAACUUUCCCAAAACAUACAAAGCGGUCGCCUUUGCACAAGAUGAAAAGAUCACUUUUGGAAGGACAUGGACGGAAGUGUUAGUCCUGUAAUGUGGAUAAACGAUGAAUACUCUUUGAGAAGGCUAAGUGCGGACUCUAAGCCUCAUGAACCUUUUUUAGGGAAUCUCGACAACCUUUGGCUAAAUGAGUUUAGUGGCUCAUGCUUUUUGGGAAAAAAGAAAUAAGUUUAAUCAAAUGGAAUUUUAUUGAAUAAUAAAAGGAACAAAAGCUAAGAGCUUUAGGGAGACAAAGUUUUUAUAAAAAAAAUGGGUUCAUAUUUAUGCCACUCCAUCCCCUAUUUAUAGUACAUAGAAAAUCUAGUUUGUUCCUAUUUAAACUCUAAAAGAUAAAUAAAGAUAAAAGCUGAAAUUAAAUCUAAAUAAUUAUCCCAACAAUAAUCCUAAUAAAAUUCAAAUUUAAAUAAAGUCUUAUGUUUAUAAAUCUCUUCUUUGAAUUUUUGCCCCCAAUUCUUUCACACUUUGUAUUUUUGGCAUCAUUUCUUUCCUAUUUAGUAUGUUGGCCCAUUUUAUCUUUAAAUUCACACUUUUUUGCCCCAAAUUUCCUUUUUCCUUUAAUUUAGUCCCUACAAGAUAAAAAACCAUAAAAAGCACAAAUUAGUAGGAUCAUACUCAAAGUAAAUAUGUAAUUAAUACAUAAAAACAUGUCAUUUCAGAGUAUUAUCAUGUAUCUUAUUUUGAAAUCAAAAAUCAAAAAUUUUAUAAAACUUGCUUUAUUCCUUUGGUAAGAAUAUUUGUCAAAAGAAAGGCGUGUGUGAAGAUUUUGAAAUGUUGUCUUAUACAACUCAAUUUAUUUAAAAACAUCAUGCUAUCGACUUUAUUUACUUGUUUUUGAAAAAACGUGAAUUUCGGUUAAAACUUUGUAGUGGAGAGUUUCUUAGGCUUGUUUAACCAUGAAAAUCAGAGGUUAGUUUUUUAAUUGUUAGAAAACAUGUCAAAUUUUAGAACAAGUAAUUAAAAUACUUAACAAAUCCCAAAAACCAAAAUUAAAGCUCGAAAAAUAGUCCAAUUGUCCAAAAGUUCAUAAAACAUAAACUAAGAGUUAUUGAAUAAGUUUUAUAUAGAAAAACUGAACCAAGCUCCUAAACGCCAUCAAAUCCUAAGUCAAAGGGUUACCUGAAAAAUUAAACAAACAAAGUGAGCUAAAAAGCUCAGUGUGUGCCUUGACCCAUAAGUAAAAUCACAUAACAGAAUCAUGGUUAGAUGCAUAUAUCAAAUCAAACAGACCAGAAAUUUCAAAAUGCUUAGUGUAAGUACCCAAAUUUACCCUGGCCCAACACCAUUAACCAGCCCAAACAAUUAAAAAAUAUAUAUAUAAAAACAAAAAAAACCAAAUAAUUAAAUGUCCACUGUCCCUUAUUACAUCAGCCCAAAUCUGCCAAAAUAAACAAGCCCGAAACAAAACUAACCCUAAGGCCCAAACAGCCCAAAAACUAAAACAAAUUCAGUCAAAACCCUAGCCCCUAUUUGCCUCGCGCCGCUCCCCCACGUACGGCCUCCAUUGCACCUCCGUACGCCAGCGCACUGCCUCCAUACACGCGCCACGCACACCACAUACCUGCAAAAAGGGACAAACACAAAACAAAAAAGGAAAAAGAAAAAAAGAUUGUAUUUUUUUGGUUUUCAUUAUUCGACUAUAAAGCCUUUUUUAUUUUUGGUUGUAAGGGCUCCCUCUUUUACACACACACAUACUGAAUAGAAAAAAAUGAUUCAAAAAUUUUAAAGGUGAUUUCUGACUCGAGUUUUCUGGGUUUUUUUAAGUUAGCUUUUAGAUUAUUUCUUUUUGGGUCUUUUAUUUUCGCAUUUGAAAACAAAAGGAAAAGGGAAAGAGAAAUCUUACCUUACGAAAACUCCAUGGGUUUCCUUUCACUUUGUUGAAAUCAAGGCUGAGAGGGAAUCCUAAGGCUAAAAUGAUCGCUAGAGCUCGAAUACAUUGGUCGCCUACUGUGGUGGUGGAUCGGUGUUUGAGUAAAAGAGGAUUAGUGUUCGGCCGAAUAGGGAAUAAGGUGUUUAUGUUUUUUUUUUUACUUUUGUUCCUAAAUGGCUAAGUGUAUUAGUUAGGGUUUGUUUUGGUGUUAAUAAUGUAU